GUUUUAUUUGAGAGAAGAUGGAAGAUGGAAGAAGAAAAGGAAACAAGAAACAAGAAACACAAGCGAACAAGAUUCAAAUAUAAUUCUUGGACUAAAUUUAGACGAGACCAAAGAGCAACUCUUGGGCAUACGUCAUGGCAUGGCAUGGCAUGGCAUGUCAUGGCGUGUGGUUAAAUGUGUGGAACAGAGAUCCAAAACUGGAAUAUUCCAGUAAAAAAAAAAAAAAAACAAAGGGUG
rnacentral:lncRNA from 1 species